rnacentral:rRNA from 1 species
CCACAAGAUGAGAUUUCUUUUAAGGGUCGUAUAAGACGACUACGUUGAUAGGUCACAGGUGUAGAGGCAGUAAUGUCUUAGCCGAGUGAUACUAAUUACCCGUAGGCCUAUCGUA